UACGUAGGGUCCGAGCGUUGUCCGGAAUUACUGGGCGUAAAGAGCUCGUAGGUGGUUUGUCGCGUUGUCCGUGAAAAACUCACAGCUCAACUGUGGGCGUGCGGGCGAUACGGGCAGACUGGAGUACUGCAGGGGAGACUGGAAUUCCUGGUGUAGCGGUGGAAUGCGCAGAUAUCAGGAGGAACACCGGUGGCGAAGGCGGGUCUCUGGGCAGUAACUGACGCUGAGGAGCGAAAGCGUGGGGAGCGAACAGG
rnacentral:rRNA from 1 species